GGGAACGUGGCUUAAUGGUAGAGCGCUUGCCUAGCACGCAUAAAGCCCUAGGUUCAAUUCCUCAGUGCCA
rnacentral:tRNA from 1 species